rnacentral:lncRNA from 1 species
UUUUUUUUUUUUUUUUUUUUUUUUGCCUUUUGUCUUUUGUUGUUGUUGUUGUUGCUAUUUCUUGGGCCGCUCCCGCGGCAUAUGGAGGUUCCCAGGCUAGGGGUUGAAUUGGAGCUGUAGCCACCGGCCUACGCCAGAGCCACAGCAACGCGGGAUCCGAGCCGCGUCUGCAACCUACACAACAGCUCACGGCAACGCCGGAUCGUUAACCCACUGAGCAAGGGCAGGGACCGAACCCGCAACCUCAUGGUUCCUAGUCGGAUUCGUUAACCACUGCGCCACGACGGGAACUCCUAGCACCAUUUUUAAUUCAGAUUUGUGUGAGUGUCUUUAAGGUAGGUUUUAAGAUGCUUUAUAGUACUUUUACAAUUAAAGUUUGAAGCGUGAUUCAUUGGCUACCGAGAAUAAUUCCAUAAAGUUGAAAAAUACUACCUUUUUCUUAGUUUCUGCAAUUAAUAUAGUGUGGCACUAACAUUUUUGUUUUCUCUAACCCUUCUUCUAGCAUGUGUGGUUUCAUCAUUUCAAGCAGUAACAACUCUUUUGUCUUCUUUUCUGUACAUAGGAUGUGGUUGGCUGAAUAUCUCUGCACCCCCACCCGCAAGAUGCUGCCAUGUUGUGAUCUCUGGGACCUGUGCGUAUAUUGCAUAGCAGAAGGGACUUUGCAGAUGGAAUUUAGGUCAUGGAGCAGGGAGGUUAUCUUGGAUUAUCAGGGUGGGUAGUGUAAUCACAAGGGUCCCUAAAAGUGGAAGGCAAGGUAGAAAACUCAAAGAUGUUGGAGGAGGAAGAACAGGAGAGUUUGAAGCAUGAGCAGAACUCAGCUUGCGGUCUCCGGAUUUGAAGAUGGGGGAAGGAGCCUGUGAGCCUAGGAAUGUGGGCAGUGUCUGGGAGCUGAGAGGAACAGUGGCCGGCAGCCCAGGGAGACGGGGACCUUGGUCCUAUGGUCACACGGAACUCAGUUCUGACAACAACUUGAAUGUCCAGAGGCAACUAAAGGAGCUCAACAGCCCUCCUGACCCCUUGAGUACAGCCUUACGAGCCUUAGGCAGAGAAACCGGCCAGUCCUACAGACCCACAAACCUGUGAGAUAAUAAAUUUGUAGUUGUUCGUAGCUGCUUAGUUUUGGGAUUUUUUACAGCAACAAGAGAAAACUUCCAUAUACUAUUUCAUGGGACAUGAAAUACACAGUACCUUGAAUUAUGGAGCAGCUCUUAAACUUGUGUUGUGGGGAAACAAAGAAAGAGGUGGGGAGCCAUCAAAGAAUUGGGAACCGCAGAAGGAGGUUUGGGGUUCCCUCCUUUUGGAUCCAGAUAUUGGAGCAGGAAAGCUUGACUCUAGGAUGCAGUGAUUUAAUUAUUAUUGUGAUUAUCUGCAUUACUCUUCUAUAAUAAUUAUACUAUUGACUUGAUUCAUGUAUUAGUUGGAGAAAUCAGAUUUAAUUUGUGUUGUCCUGAAAACAUAAUCUUAUGAAAGAGUUGCUUUUAACAUGUCAGUGUGGGAGAAAACUUGUAUUUAUACUUAUAAUUAUGCCUUUGCUCAAACUUACUUGAAUUAUGACUCUGCUUCAGGCACUUACACCCAUUCUGUCUUAUUGGGGGAAGAGGAGACUCUCUUGCUAUAACUUUGCUUAAUAAAAACAUGAAAUAUGAAAGUUGGAAGGACCUAUAUUCAUACCGACUAAUUUUACACACAGGAGACUUCAAGAAGUUUAGAGGAGCCCAGUAAGUCACUAAGCUGGGUGUUGUGUGUUGCUCACAAGCAUUAGGCUCAGGUUGUAAUGUGGAAAGUACCAUGAAGGGCAGGAACCAAGAUGGGUUUUGUUCUGAUUCACGCCCCCCCACCAUCAGGGGUGUGACUUGGAAAAUCCAUUUCUUUCCAAACUAGGACUGCUGUAAUGAUCAAAUAAAUGAAUGUGAUAUUUGUCAGUAGAAUAGUAGUUACUUUGUCGACUUAAGGAUUACUAGCAUUGUUAGGAGAAGCCAUCCAGUUGGCAAUCAGAUGCUUUACAGGGAGAGCCUUUCGUACAGAAGGAACAGUGAUGGAGACUUGAAUUGAAGUAGCUGCAGUGGGAGUUAUGGCAGCAUGCAGCAAAAGGUACAUCAAAAUGAAUUCUGUGCAGCUGAAUAGAAGUCCUCGCCUUAGAGGAAAGGUCGCGGAGGUAUUGUGGGCUGACCUGAACUUGCUGAGGCCUGUUUUGUUAUACCUUUGCCUUUCACAUUGAAGUGCACAAUUGACCUUAUCUUUUGUGAAAAAAUACUUUGGCCUCUUUGAAGUCUUGUGCUGCUGGCAGAUUCACACGGAUGCCUACUUACAAGCUCUUUAUUGAUCAUACUUGUGGCACGGGUGGCAGGUAUGGCGUGCAUGAGUGGCUUCAGGAACCUUUGCUUUUGUCCCACCAGAGUUUGAGUUAACAGGAAGAAGUGUGGUAGAGGGCUCCUGCUCAUCCUGCUUUGCUCCUUAUCCUGCUGUCAGGUGAGCCCUGCAGGACCACCCCCUUCUCCUUGUGUUUCAGCCUGAUGUUCAAGGUUAAUUCCCUGGGUGGCCAUGUUUUCCCUCCCCUCCAUGCCUCCCAUGUUCUCAUUUCUUGAAAUGUGUUAAGCCUCGUAUACAAACCUGCUCUCCUACCAUCCUUUAGAACAUAGCCCAGGUGUCAUUUCCCCCUAGAAACUCUUUGACACCCCAGCCUUAGUCCUGCUGUCAACCCCCCUCAAGUUCAGAAAACAUGUGUAAAUCUCCAUAAGGGCUCUGCCGCUGUGUUAGAGCUGUUGGCUUGCGCUCUCGAACUGUGGGGGCAGCAAGCUCUUUGAAGGAAGGGCUAUCUUUCCUGUCUGUAUUACCGCUGCUCCACAUAGUUUGUGCUAUAAGUGACCAGAUGGUGUGACCUUGCUGGAGCAUGAGCUGGGACAGCUGGCCAUUCUGAUGGGUCAGUGACUAAUGUGUAGGGACCCUGCAAACCCAUAGACACAUGCACAGAUCAGUUGAAAGUUCAGGCACAUUUAGUAAAUUAAAACAACCCUUUUCCUAUCAGUUUCCAAGUUUUUUCUAUUGUAAAUAACAUAGAGAUAGCCAGUUUUGUACAAAAACUUAGGUACAUCUCUGGUGUUUUUUCCUUCUGAUUCUAGAAAUCACGUAUUUUUUAUUUCAAAAAGAAACAUUUAAGUUUGGCACAAGAUGAGAAUUGAAGGACACAUGUGGGCUUUGGAGUUUUGACUUCCUGAAUUCCUAGUUUCCCCCAUUUACUAGCUGUAGACUCUUGGGCAGAAUACUUUUCUGAGGCUCACUUUCCACUUUCCUAAAAUAGAGAUUUAUAUCAGUCAGCACAGGCCAGGUUGUCCCGCAGGACCAGACAUCUCCCAAACCUCAGUGGGUUUACAGUGUCACAGCAUCUUGAUUAUUCACACUUCAUGCCUCUCGUGGAUUAGCAUGGAGGCUGUGUUCACUGUGGAAGUUCAGGGACCCAGGUGGAAGGUACAUCCUGACUUGCAUUUCAGAAUUGUGGAUGGAGGUAAGAGACCUAAGAAAGCUCUUAGAACUUGUCAUACUUGCAUUUCACUGACCAAAGCAGUGUCCUAGCCGAGUUCAGAGGUCAGGGAUGCAUAAUCAUUUUGCAGGGAAAGGCAUCAAAUAUUUCCAAAUAAUAUUGCAGUCUGCCUCCAGGUUAGUGACGCAUGAAGGGAAACUCUUGGAACAUACCAAGUGCCCCCUACAAAGGUAGUGAUUGAUGAAUGGAAGCUAAUUUUAUUCGUGAUUGGUUUCUCUGGAAAGUAUUAAUGAUCUAUUGUAAGAAGUUAUAAAUGGGCUCAGGAUAUAAUGAAACCUAGUGUCCAUACUUAAUUAUGGGCAGUUUAAAAAAGAAAACUUUUAUUGAAAAUGCACCGACAGAUGAAAAAUUAAAACGGCAGCUUCAUGGUUCAAAGGUAAGUUUCUCUGUAAACGUUACAAUUUCAAUUUAUCAUUUUCUUGAGGUCCCAACAACGAAGGUUUAAUAACGAAUAGUUUCUGAAGUAUUGAAUCCACUAACUUAGAAAAUCAGUGUCUUUCCUCAGUGCAAAAUGUACUUACAAUUAGAACAUUUUGGUAAGGCAUUCUUAUGUGAAAAUGUUUCUGACCUAAGUUGUUUUAGCUCCUCCUGUGUUUAGCAGACUGCCAGCAGUAGUUUCACUCCUUGCUUUGUGAACAAAGGGGUAGUUCUGUGUUUUUUCAAAAAGGAGAGUUAAACUUUUCACAUGAAUAUUUAUAUUUAACAAAAAAGACUGCUUUCCAUGGUGUCUGGUUUAUGAAAACUUUAAUAUGAAUAUCAGUGAUUUCUGCCCCACCUCAGCAUUUUAAAAAGUCACUUUUAUAGUUUUACUCUGCAGCUUAUCAUCAUAAAUCCAAGAAUGUAAUUUUUUUAGACUUCAGAAUACCAUUGAUGCAUGUGCUUUAUGAGCUAGGUAGAACUAGUGUUGUAAAAUUUGUUUCCCUUAAAGUGCAGAAGAAUGGGAAUUCUGGUCAACAGAUCUUACCUAGCAUUUUUUAUGUUAAGAAGAUGUUCUUGGGAGUUCCCGUUGUGGCACAGCAGUAAGGAACCUGACUAGUAUCCAUGAGGAUGCAGGUUUGUUCCAUGGCCUUGCUCAGCAGGUCGGGGAUCUGGUGUUGCCAUGAGCUGUUGUGUAGGUCGCAGAUCUGUGGCUCAGAUCCUGUGUUGCUGUGUCUGUGCUAUAGGCUAGCAGCUGCAGCUCUGAUUUCACCCCUAGCCUGGGAACUUCCAUAGGCAUGGACCUAAAAAAGC